rnacentral:rRNA from 1 species
UACGUAGGGUGCAAGCGUUACUCGGAAUUACUGGGCGUAAAGCGUGCGUAGGUGGUGCGUUAAGUCUGUCGUGAAAGCCCCGGGCUCAACCUGGGAAUGGCGAUGGAUACUGGCGCGCUAGAGUGCGGUAGAGGAGAGUGGAAUUCCCGGUGUAGCAGUGAAAUGCGUAGAUAUCAGGAGGAAUACCGAUGGCGAAGGCAGGUCUCUGGGCUGACACUGACGCUCAUGCACGAAAGCGUGGGGAGCAAACAGG